rnacentral:rRNA from 1 species
UACACUCCUACGGGAGGCAGCAGUGGGGAAUUUUGGACAAUGGGCGCAAGCCUGAUCCAGCCAUGCCGCGUGCGGGAAGAAGGCCUUCGGGUUGUAAACCGCUUUUGUCAGGGAAGAAAAGGUUCUGGCUAAUACCUGGGACUCAUGACGGUACCUGAAGAAUAAGCACCGGCUAACUACGUGCCAGCAGCCGCGGUAAUACGUAGGGUGCAAGCGUUAAUCGGAAUUACUGGGCGUAAAGCGUGCGCAGGCGGUUAUGCAAGACAGAGGUGAAAUCCCCGGGCUCAACCUGGGAACUGCCUUUGUGACUGCAUGGCUAGAGUACGGUAGAGGGGGAUGGAAUUCCGCGUGUAGCAGUGAAAUGCGUAGAUAUGCGGAGGAACACCGAUGGCGAAGGCAAUCCCCUGGACCUGUACUGACGCUCAUGCACGAAAGCGUGGGGAGCAAACAGGAUUAGAAACCCGGGUAGUCCCAUGA